CGAGUUUUUUCAACAUUCAAAAUUAUUAUUUUUAUUUUGUAAAAUUUAUUUAAUUUAGUCAUUUUCAGUGUCUAAAUAGUUAACAACAUAAUUUCUACAUCAGUAAAUAUUGGGUGAGCUGUCAGAUUUUCAUGUAUGUGACAAAUUAAACCAAUACAACAUGGAAACGGACCUAUGUGAAAGUGGGAAAAUUGACUUUACUUUCAAAGGGUGCGGCGGAAACCCUAGCAACCAAAAUGGACCACCGAUUGCAACAACUACGAGUCACCAUUCUCGUUGCCAAAGCACCAUGAAUCUUUACGAAAUCUACCAGGUUCGAAGCCACAACAAACCACCCCGAGCUUCCAUCGUUGUCCACCGUUGAACCCAAACACCAUUCACAAACUUUUAUCUUCAUGUCGCCAUGACGAAUCAACAACCACCAUCAUCUCUCUUAGGCCAUCACCGCGAAUUUAGUAGCGAGGGAUAAACCCUUUGCUACAAUCCCCAAGCUUCAUUAUACCUAUAAAUCAAAAAUCCAUAAACCUAAAAAACCUCAAAUCUCUCGAGCAAACAAAACAUCCUCUAAAAAAAGAAUCCUAAAUCCCAAAAUCAACAUUUUACACACCAAAAAUAAUAUUUUACUUGUUUUCCCAAAACAUAUCACACAAAAAUGGAAAACAAACAAAAGUCAAGACCUUGCAAAAAAA
rnacentral:lncRNA from 1 species